GCAAGUCGAACGGUAACAGGAGGAAGCUUGCUUCUUUGCUGACGAGUGGCGCACGGGUGAGUAAUAUAUAGAUAAUGUGCCCCUUAGUCUGGGAUAGCCACUGGAAACGGUGAUUAAUACUAGAUACUCCUUUUAGUCAUAAGGCUAUUUGGGAAAGUUUUUUCGCUAAGGGAUCUGUCUAUAUCCUAUCAGUUUGUUGGUAGUGUAAGAGACUACCAAGACUAUGACGGGUAGCGGGUUUGAGAGGAUGAUC
rnacentral:rRNA from 1 species